UACGUAGGUGGCGAGCGUUGUCCGGAUUUACUGGGCGUAAAGGGAGCGUAGGCGGACUUUUAAGUGAGAUGUGAAAUACCCGGGCUCAACUUGGGUGCUGCAUUUCAAACUGGAAGUCUAGAGUGCAGGAGAGGAGAAUGGAAUUCCUAGUGUAGCGGUGAAAUGCGUAGAGAUUAGGAAGAACACCAGUGGCGAAGGCGAUUCUCUGGACUGUAACUGACACUGAGGCACGAAAGCGUGGGGAGCAAACAGGAUUAGAUACCCCU
rnacentral:rRNA from 1 species